rnacentral:rRNA from 1 species
AUUGAACGCUGGCGGAAUGCUUUACACAUGCAAGUCGGGCGGCAGCAUGGACUUCGGUCUGAUGGCGAGCGGCGAACGGGUGAGUAACACAUAGGAACAUACCCAGUAAUGGGGGAUAACGCCGAGAAAUCGGUGCUAAUACCGCAUACGCCCUGAGGGGGAAAGCGGGGGAUCUUCGGACCUCGCGUUAUUGGAUUGGCCUAUGUCUGAUUAGCUAGUUGGUGGGGUAAAGGCUCACCAAGGCGACGAUCAGUAGCUGGUCUGAGAGGAUGCUCAGCCACACUGGAACGGAGACACGGUCCAGACUCCUACGGGAGGCAGCAGUGGGGAAUUUUGGACAAUGGGCGAAAGCCUGAUCCAGCCAUUCCGCGUGAGUGAAGAAGGCCUUCGGGUUGUAAAGCUCUUUCGGCAGGAACGAAACGGCGGACUCUAACAUAGUCUGCUAAUGACGGUACCUGAAGAAGAAGCACCGGCUAACUACGUGCCAGCAGCCGCGGUAAGAC